UCAGAUCAGUGUGGUACAGAUGUGACGUUCACGAACCAUGGUUCUUGUAAAUGAUAACAAUCGACUUGCGAGUGUGAGCCGUUAGUAGGGGAGCAGGUUUUAUGCACAUGCCGAAACAAUGUAACCGGACUGCAAACUGGACUAAAGGGUUCUGAUGUAGUUCAAUCAGAGGUACAGGCUGUGUUCACACAGGAACACGUGGCCCUUGGCAAAGGCCUAGUACCUGACUGCCCCCUAGCCAGGGAUACGGUAAAGACCUCAACGGCGGAGCAGGCGGAAGAUGGUAGAUUUAAGAACUACCACAACGGCUGCGAUGGCGGAGGAAGGCUGCAGCAGAAAAGGGUCCCCAGUCGUCUUGGACUGCAUUCCACUGGACCCUGACCCGAUUCUGUCAAGGAUUGUGUGGCGACUGUCUGUGCACCAGUCUCCCCCACGUAAAACAAAGUCACGCACAGGCAUCCUCCAUAAAGGGAUACACCCCUACCAGGUGGAUUGUCGUUCGAGUGAUUGCCGCUGAUGAUGACUUGUUAACAUAAUUAAAUUUACUUUCCCUUAAUAUCUAAAAUUAUUCAUAUUCUCCUAAUGUCAUAUUAUGCUUAUUUCAGUGCUGUUGUUUUUAGUUUUAGUUUGUAUCCAAUCAGAAUUCAGCUAGCUUAUGUUGCCAUGCUGUACCGAAUCUGCCACCGGCCUUCAAAAUCAACAAUGCUGUAAGUGAACGGGCACAUACAGUUGAUAGACAGUUGCGAAAGGCAAUCAGAUCACGAGUUGUUGUCAGUAUAGCCUUCUAGCUGGCGUGACGUCAAGUUAAACGUGAGAUUUACGCAUCCUGUGAUUGGAUACGUCAUCGAGACCGUUAGCAGAUGAAUUUGAGAAUACAGAGAGUUGAUAGACAGUUGCGAUAGCCAAUCAGAUCCCAAGUUGAUGACAGUAGCUGUUCUGUGGCAACUAAAAGCUGGGAUCAAUAAAGUACUUUCUAUUCUAUUCUAAACACUUGUUGUUAAAGUAUGUUAUGCCUGUAAUUUAUUUAACUUUAUUACAUGUGUAUUUGUCGCCAUCAUGUGGUCAGAUCAGUUAAUAUAUCUUUGAGAAGUGUGUACUGUGAAUCGAACUUUAUUGACCGGAAGUUGCAUAAGCUAAGCAGAGAAAUUCACGGUAUAUAUUAUAAUUGCUGAUGCGUUUUAAUUGAUCAGAAAAUAAACCGUUUUGUACACUGUUGAUGUAAUUCAAUGCAAAAUAGGGUGUAAAUAUGUUCCUGAAUAGUAUUUCUCCAGCAACGAUCGUGUGGUGACAUCAAUUGUGGUAUUUUGAGAGGUAAUUAUUGAAGUCUGAGAUCACUGAAGGCCUAGGUGGGAAACACACGGCCCGCCACUGAAUGGAUAAUUUUUUUGUGAAAGUUCGACUCGGACCUAGUUUGUUUCCGUGACGACCUUCUUAAAGUUUUGUAAUCAAUCAGAAACAUCAAGCAGCUAAAAAUGCGCUAAACAUGGAUAGGUGUGGAGAGGGUGUUUUACAUUUUUUUCCCAUCAUGUAGAAUAAUGGAUUUUAAUGGGUGCAGUUUUGUUUUUGUUAUGAUUUUUAAUAAUAUCCACAAUGUUCAGUGAGCAGAUUGUGUUAUAUGUGACCGUGUGUGUUGAUUUUAUGUUGCUUUUUUUAAUGCACCAUGACUAGGGAAGGUUGGUUGGAUUGUGCCAUAUAAGUAAAUGCUAUGCUUAUAUAUAUCUAAAUACGUUCAAGGGUCAAUGAUUUUGAUAACUCACAUUGUCCACAAGAUGGCAGCAAAUAUGUAGCAUUCAAAGACCAUCUGAUAUUUAAAAUUGUUUUGAAAGCAUUCCAUGGUGCGAUACUUUGUUUAACUCACGGCGUUUCGUGGGCCAAAUUGAUGACAUCGUACUUUGGAGACCCUCUCUUAAAUUAAAGA